rnacentral:lncRNA from 1 species
AACGGAUGAUUUCUAAGUUUAGGGACCGGGAUGACACAAUUGAACAAGUUUAGGGACCGAGAUGACACAGAUGAACAAGUUUGAGGACCUAAACAAUCGAUUUGUGAGUUUCGGAACCGGGAUGACACGACAGCACAAAUUUAGGGAUCGGUGGUGGACUUUACUCACUGAUAAAAGUGUUGAAAUGGAAGCAUCGACAAGACGUGGUGUUCAGGUAUCUGAAAGCUUAGCAUCGGUCACCCGUCUGACUUCUCGGCAACGGCAGGGAGCGAGGAUGCCUGCCUUGACCUCGCGCGGUGCGUGACAACGACCUGGGACACCCAUAUUAUUCCUUGGUACCUCAGUAAUAUAUGCUCACAUUAUCACGACGCAAUAUAUGUGAAUCAUCUCGUUUGUGUAAGGUACCUCAGUAAUAAUGUGAACUUGCAAGCUUAUAGGAAAAUGUUCUAUACAACAUUAGUAUCGAAAAGUACAAAGGCGUGUGAGCUUAGUUCUUCAUGGAGAACUAACUUUAUUAGCUCUUCUUCUUACUCAAUAAAAUGUUCUAUAAGCUAGAAAUUUUAACACUAUUGGAGCUAUCCUAGAACUCUUUUUUCGAAGUCAUUACUGCUGAAGUUGUGGUUUCUUUUUUCUUUUUUUUUUGCGAGGAAAAGUUGUGGUUUCCUGUCACAGGACAAAUUAGGGUACUUUUUUUUAAACAAAUUAGGGUACUGUUAAUGGCAAAUCUUGCUGUUGUAUAUAAAUUAAGGUUGCUCACGCAAAAGGUUGCUCGCGCAAAUAGCACGGAUACUCAGGUUUUUAUUUUAUUUUAUUUUAUUUAUUUAUUUAUUUAUUUAUUUAUUACUUGACAAUAUUUCUUGUAAAUAGCUCCGUUUGUUUUGACUAUCGUGGAGUACCUCUUCUCAUUUUUCUUUGUUUCCAACGGUGCUUGUAGAGGUGAAAAGGCCGUUCAACUGAUGCUGAUGUAUAGGUAUGGUCUUAUGGCUGGAUUUUUUUGUCUUUUAGUUGUACUUUUUUGUGUUUGUAUUCACUUAAAGAGCAUCUCCAACCGUCCCCCUUUCCUCACCUCCAAUGAGAAAAAAAAAACUAUUAUUUUGGAGAUCUUGUAGCUCUAGUAGUUUCCUAAACCCAACCCCACAAUAAGAAAAAAGAAAUUCUCACUCCCUCGAAUCAUAGCCUCUCACCCUCAAAUAAAGGGGAGACCUAUCCUCUCCUAAUCCACUAUUUUUCUCAUUGGGGAUGUUCGGUUAGGGAGAAGACUUUUUAAACCCCAAUCCACUAUUUUAGGGGUUGGAGUUUUCUCCUACCGCUGGAGAUGGGUCUUUUGGUUGGAGCCUUGGAACCAGGCAAUGUGGCCAAGCAUACAUCUUCACCUACGAUAUCCACAAACCACUUCCAAACCAAACAAACUUAGCUUAAUCUAUGUUC